rnacentral:rRNA from 1 species
ACAUCUCUUUUUGAGKWAUUUAUAAAGUUUAACCUGCCCACUGAUUAAUUAAAUGGCCGCAGUAUAUUGACUGUGCAAAGGUAGCAUAAUCAUUAGUCUUUUAAUUGAAGGCUGGAAUGAAUGGUUGGACGAAAUAUUAACUGUUUCAUUUAAAUUUAUAAUAGAAUUUUAUUUUUUAGUAAAAAAGCUAAAAUAAUAUUAAAAGACGAGAAGACCCUAUAAAUCUUUAUAUUUAAUUUAUAUAAGUUUUAUAGAUUUAUUUUAUUUAUAUAAAUUAUAAUAUUUUAUUGGGGUGAUAUUAAAAUUUAAUGAACUUUUAUUUAAAAAUUACAUUAAUUUAUGAUUUAUUGAUCCAUUAAUAAUGAUUAAUAGAAUAAGUUACUUUAGGGAUAACAGCGUAAUUUUUUUGGAGAGUUCAUAUCGAUAAAAAAGAUUGCGACCUCGAUGUUGGAUUAAGGAAUAAAAUUGGGUGUAGAAAUUUAAUGUUUAAGUCUGUUCGACUUUUAAAUUC